GGCCCGUUAGUGCAGUGGCCAAGCACGCCUGGUUCUCAGCCAGGUAACACCGGUUCGAAUCCGGUACGGGCUG
rnacentral:tRNA from 1 species